rnacentral:lncRNA from 1 species
AUGAGAAGGUGGAGAGAUCCAGCUUUCUCUGCGACCUUGGCUGAGUCACAUCACCUCCUUAUUCUUGUGAGAGAAGGGCCAGUAUUGCACCGGGCCGUCCAGAUCGAAACCCCAUGCCUGGGAUUCCAUGAGUCGUCCUGCUGUCUCCCGGCCAAGCUCCGAGUGCUCCUCCGAGGAACUGAGCUGAGAGAACAAUGCCCCAUGAUUGGCUCUGGUGCGUCCCCAAGGGCAGAGCAGCAGGUGAGCAGGGGAGCCCUGAUUGCAGGGCCAGUGAUGAGCUGAGAGGGAUUGAUUAGCUUCUUAAGUCAAGUGGCUCCAAAGUUCCCCCAGUGUGCACACCCCUGCCCUUGGCCCUGUCCCUAGGGCCGCAUGUUGUGUCCCCAGCAGCAGGCAACCUCCUCCAUCUAACAGUCUCCUUUGUUUUCCCUUCCAUGAAUUGGGGUUUAAGGAGUUAAAAAAGAAAGAAGGGAAACACCUAGGGCAUUAAAUCCACACAAGGACCCCCUGUGAGUGGUUGUUACUACUCCCAGUUUAUGGAUGACUCAACCAACGCUCAGAGAAGGAAGUCAAUGACCCAAAGUCACACAGGCAAUAAUUGCCAACAUCUUCAAAAUCUUCAAAGCCAGAGAGCUGAUAUAUGAACAAUAGGGUAGCAGGUACGCCGUGCAUGCCAGUUCCCUUCCCUUCUCCCUCAGUCUCUGGUACACCCUUGACCCUCUAUUUCCAUGGCCUUUGGGUGCUGGUCAGCCAGCCACCCUGGGUUCACUCCCAGACCAGAGCCGGAUCAGUCCAGGAAGCAGGGUGCAGUUCUG